rnacentral:rRNA from 1 species
AACACGUAGGAAUCUUCCUGNCAGUGGGGGACAACUUGGGGAAACUCGAGCUAAUACCGCAUACGCCCUACGGGGGAAAGCAGGGGACCUUUAUGNCCUUGUGCUGACAGAUGAGCCUGCGUCGGAUUAGCUAGUUGGUAGGGUAAAGGCCUACCAAGGCGACGAUCCGUAGCUGGUCUGAGAGGACGAUCAGCCACACUGGGACUGAGACACGGCCCAGACUCCUACGGGAGGCAGCAGUGGGGAAUAUUGGACAAUGGGCGCAAGCCUGAUCCAGCAAUGCCGCGUGUGUGAAGAAGGCCUGCGGGUUGUAAAGCACUUUCAGGGGGGAAGAAAAGCCCGAUGCUAAUACCAUCAGGUCUUGACGUUACCCCAAG